rnacentral:rRNA from 1 species
AUAAGCGGAGGAAAAGAAACCAACAGGGAUUGCCUCAGUAACGGCGAGUGAAGCGGCAAGAGCUCAAAUUUGAAAGCUGGCUCCUUCGGGGUCCGCAUUGUAAUUUGCAGAGGAUGCUUCGGGAGCGGCCCCCAUCUAAGUGCCCUGGAACGGGCCGUCAUAGAGGGUGAGAAUCCCGUCUGGGAUGGGGUGCCCGCGACCAUGUGAAGCUCCUUCGACGAGUCGAGUUGUUUGGGAAUGCAGCUCUAAAUGGGUGGUAAAUUUCAUCUAAAGCUAAAUAUUGGCCGGAGACCGAUAGCGCACAAGUAGAGUGAUCGAAAGAUGAAAAGCACUUUGAAAAGAGAGUUAAAAAGCACGUGAAAUUGUUGAAAGGGAAGCGCUUGCGACCAGACUCGCCCGCGGGGUUCAGCCGGUAUUCGUACCGGUGUACUUCCCCGCGGGCGGGCCAGCGUCGGUUUGGGCGGCCGGUCAAAGGCCCUCGGAAUGUAACGCCUCUCGGGGCGUCUUAUAGCCGAGGGUGCCAUGCGGCCAGCCCGGACCGAGGAACGCGCUUCGGCUCGGACGCUGGCAUAAUGGUCGUAAGUGACCCGUCUUGAAACACGGACCAAGGAGUCUAACAUCUACGCGAGUGUUCGGGUGGCAAACCCGUGCGCGCAGUGAAAGCGAACGGAGGUGGGAACCCUUUGGGUGCACCAUCGACCGAUCCUGAUGUCUUCGGAUGGAUUUGAGUAGGAGCGUAGCUGUUGGGACCCGAAAGAUGGUGAACUAUGCCUGAAUAGGGCGAAGCCAGAGGAAACUCUGGUGGAGGCUCGCAGCGGUUCUGACGUGCAAAUCGAUCGUCAAAUUUGGGUAUAGGGGCGAAAGACUAAUCGAACCAUCUAGUAGCUG